ensembl:misc_RNA Metazoa_SRP Metazoan signal recognition particle RNA
GCCGGGCGCAGUGGCUCACGCCUGUAAUCCCAGCACUUUGGGAGGCCGAGGCGGGUGGAUCACCUGAGGUCAGGAGUUCGAGACCAGCCUGGCCAACAUGGAGAAACCUCGUCUCUACUAAAAAUACAAAAUUAGCUGGGCGUGGUGGCGCAUGCCUAUAAUCCCAGCUACUAGGGAGGCUGAGGCAGGAGAAUUGCUUGAGCCUGGGAGGCGGAGGUUGUGGUGAGCCGAGAUCGUGCCAUUGCACUCCAGCCUGGGCAACAAGAGUGAAACUCCGCCUCA